rnacentral:rRNA from 1 species
GACGAACGCUGGCGGCGUGCCUAAUACAUGCAAGUUGAGCGAUGAAGCUUGGUGCUUGCACCAAUUUGAAGAGCAGCGCACGGGUGAGUAACGCGUGGGGAAUCUGCCUUUGAGCGGGGGACAACAUUUGGAAACGAAUGCUAAUACCGCAUAACAACUUUAAACAUAAGUUUUAAGUUUGAAAGAUGCAAUUGCAUCACUCAAAGAUGAUCCCGCGUUGUAUUAGCUAGUUGGUGAGGUAAAGGCGCACCAAGGCGAUGAUACAUAGCCGACCUGAGUGGAUGAGCAGCCGCCCUGGGACGGAGACACGCCACAAACGCCUACAGGAGGGAGCAGUAGGGCUACGUGGGGAAGGGGCGAAAGACAGAGCGCGAAAGGCCGAAGGCGUGAGGAAGGAUGUCGGGUCGGAAAACUCGGUUGGUAGGGAAGAAAGUUGGUGAGAGUGGAAAGCUCAUUAAGUGACGGUAACUACUCAGAAAGGGACGGCUAACUACGUG